GUCACAGCGUCACCUGAACUGUGUUCUCUCUUCCUCUUACGGGCUGCAUUUCUGCAAACUCAUUUGGCUACACAAAAUGUUCCUAUACGCGGCUGAUGAUUUGCGUCGCUUCGUUUUCAUCGCUGUCGUCAUCACAUUAUGAAAGCUUAUAUGUCAGUGAUGUGAACGCCAGCGUCUCCGAGUGUGAUCACUGCCUUGACUGGACACCCUGGUUCCCAGGACAGCGCCCCCUUUUCUGAGUCAAAGGUCACCCCUGACCACAGCUCCUCUGUGCCUGAGGGAGAAAUCACCGUGGUCACCAUGCAAUGAGCUGCAUUUACAUCGUCAUCAAGUGACACACUUUCACAGAUUGUCAUUGGCUGCCUUGCUGCCUGCGUGUUCGUGCAGCCACACACACCAAUACUGAAGAUGAACAAGGAUUCCCCGUGACUGCGCAACGACAGUUAAGAUGAUUCAAGAGAUCAUGUUCAUGGAUUUUUUUUCUUGCCAGAAAUAGCAGGAAGAUAUGUUCUCUUAGUUGCAGAAGGGAAAUAAUAAAUAAACAAUAAAUAAUGUUAUGCAUAAUCUCAUUAAUUAUUUAUCACGUUCAACAAGUUAAAUAGAGUGUGACUAAAGUUUUAUUGUCGAUCACCUGGUACAUCAAAUCCACUGUAUUCAGUGAAAUGAUAAACCAAAUGGUAGAUGAUAAUAUUUUCCCACCUAUUAAGCCAUUUAUUGUCACUGUCUUUCAUCUUCGUCGCCCAGAAUAUCUGCACAGUGAAAUAUUCACUGUUUAAUCAACUCUUACAGAGAUUAUUACUAGUCUAGUGGACUCGUACAAACCCUGUUAGAGUUGAAUUAAUACUGGGCAUUUUACUACGUACCCUGAGUCUUCUGUGGUAUGAUUCUAAACACAGAUUCACAUGACAAAUGGACCACCCCUGCUGCCAGGUGUUCUAGCCAGCACAGGUAGUCAGCACACAACACAUCAGCCACCUGCGAAGCACAGGGUACAGCUCCUGUAUACAUGAGAAUCGCUAGUGACCGACCACGCAUAUAGGUUUAAGUAAGCAUUUGCCAGCAUUGCUGGAGUCAAGUGAAUGCAUGUGAACUGAACACAGUUAAGUGUACGGUAUAAGUAAAUAAUACACCUGCAGUUAUAAUCAUAAUUAUAACACCAUGAAUGUAUU